rnacentral:ncRNA from 1 species
GGGGGAGCUGUCGAAGGUGGGAUCGGCGAUUGGGACGAAGUCGUAACAAGGUAGCCGUACCGGAAGGUGCGGCUGGAUCACCUCCUUU